rnacentral:rRNA from 1 species
UCAAGUGACUAAGCGUAUACGGUGGAUGCCUUGGCAGUCAGAGGCGAUGAAGGACGUUGUAGCCUGCGAAAAGCUUCGGGGAGUCGGCAAACAGACUUUGAUCCGGAGAUGUCCGAAUGGGGAAACCCACCUGGUGUAAGCCAGGUACCUUGCACUGAAUACAUAGGUGUAAGGAGCGAACGAGGGGAACUGAAACAUCUAAGUACCCUUAGGAAAAGAAAUCAAUUGAGAUUCCCCCAGUAGCGGCGAGCGACCGGGGAGUAGCCUGCAAGUGAUAGCAGUUGGGUUAGUGGAACGGUCUGGAAAGUCCGGCGAUAGAGGGUGAUAGCCCCGUACACGAAAACCUGAUUGUGAUACUAAGCUUGCGACAAGUAGGUCGGGACACGAGUUAUCUUGACUGAACAUGGGGGGACCAUCCUCCAAGGCUAAAUACUACCAACUGACCGAUAGUGAACUAGUACCGUGAGGGAAAGGUUAAAAGAACCCCGGAGAGGGGAGUGAAAUAGAUCCUGAAACCGUAUGCGUACAAGCAGUAGGAGCAGACUUGUUCUGUGACUGCGUACCUUUUGUAUAAUGGGUCAGCGACUUAUUGUCUGUAGCAAGCUUAACCGUUUAGGGGAGGCGUAGGGAAACCGAGUCUUAAUAGGGCGUCAUAGUUGCAGGCAAUAGACCCGAAACCGGGCGAUCUAGCCAUGGGCAGGUUGAAGGUUGAGUAACAUCAACUGGAGGACCGAACUCACGUAUGUUGAAAAAUGCGGAGAUGACCUGUGGCUCGGAGUGAAAGGCUAAUCAAGCCCGGAGAUAGCUGGUUCUCCUCGAAAUCUAUUUAGGUAGAGCGUCGUGUCUUACCCUGGGGGGUAGAGCACUGUUUCGGCUAGGGGGUCAUCCCGACUUACCAACCCGAUGCAAACUCCGAAUACCAAUGAGUGCAAUCACGGGAGACACACGGCGGGUGCUAACGUCCGUCGUGGAAAGGGAAACAACCCAGACCGUCAGCUAAGGUCCCAAAGUUAUAGUUAAGUGGGAAACGAUGUGGGAAGGUUUAGACAGCUAGGAGGUUGGCUUAGAAGCAGCCAUCCUUUAAAGAAAGCGUAAUAGCUCACUAGUCGAGUCGGCCUGCGCGGAAGAUAUAACGGGGCUAAAUUGGUAACCGAAGCUGCGGAUGCGUGCUUGCACGCAUGGUAGAGGAGCGUUCUGUAAGCCGUUGAAGGUGAACCGGGAGGUUUGCUGGAGGUAUCAGAAGUGCGAAUGCUGACAUGAGUAACGAUAAAGGGGGUGAAAAACCCCCUCGCCAGAAGUCCAAGGUUUCCUACGCAACGUUAAUCGGCGUAGGGUUAGUCGGCCCCUAAGGCGAGGCAGAAAUGCGUAGUCGAUGGGAAACGGGUUAAUAUUCCCGUACUUCAUAUAACUGCGAUGGGAAGACGGAGUAGGUUAGCUCAGCAAGGCGAUGGUUGUCCUUGUUCAAGCGUGUAGAAAUGGUUCUUAGGAAAAUCCGGGAACCUCUAUUUCAAGGCGUGAUAACGAGCCCUCUUUUGGGCGAAGUGAGUGAGACCAUGCUUCCAGGAAAAUCCUCUAAGCUUCAGGUUAUAUGAAACCGUACCCCAAACCGACACAGGUGGACGAGAUGAGAAUUCUAAGGCGCUUGAGAGAACUCGGGUGAAGGAACUAGGCAAAAUGACACCGUAACUUCGGGAGAAGGUGUGCUCUUGUUAUGUGAUAUCACUUGCUGAUUGAGCAAAGAAGAGCUGAAAAAACUAGGUGGCUGCGACUGUUUAUUAAAAACACAGCACUCUGCAAACACGUAAGUGGACGUAUAGGGUGUGACUCCUGCCCGGUGCUUGAAGGUUAAUUGAUGAGGUUAGCGCUUGCGCGAAGCUUUUGAUCGAAGCCCAAGUAAACGGCGGCCGUAACUAUAACGGUCCUAAGGUAGCGAAAUUCCUUGUCGGG